rnacentral:snRNA from 1 species
UGCUUGCUUCAGCAACCAAUAUACUAAACUGGGAACGAUACAGAGAAGAUUACUAUGGUCCCUGCACAAGGAUGACACACAAAUUUGUGAAGUGUUCAUACAUUAA